rnacentral:rRNA from 1 species
CAAUAGCGUAUAUUAACGUUGUUGCAGUUAAAAAGCUCGUAGUUGGAUUUCUGGAGGGAGCGUCGGCCCGUAUUUACGAGUGCGUGACGUCUCUGUCCAUCCUUGCGGGAAGGCACGGCAUUGAUUUGUUGUGUCGGAUCGCAUCAUUUACUGUGAAAAAAUUAGAGUGUUCAAAGCAGGCUUUCGCUUGAAUACAUUAGCAUGGAAUAAUAAGAUAGGACUUUGGUGCUAUUUAGUUGGUUGAGCCUAAAGUAAUGAUUAAUAGGGAUAGUUGGGGGCACCUGUAUUGCGUUGUCAGAGGUGAAAUUCUUGGAUUUACGCAAGACAAACAGCUGCGAAAGCGUCUGCCAAGGAUGUUUUCAUUAA